ensembl:miRNA Mir7077 microRNA 7077
UACGCCAAGGUCCCGUAGCAGGCUAUUCCCUGACACACCUUCCAUGGCUCCUGGCAG